UCGAGAAUCUUCCGCAAUGCGCGAAAGCGUGACGGAGCGACGCCGCGUGGAGGAUGAAGGCCUUCGGGUUGUAAACUCCUGUCACCUGGGAAGAAAGGUAGGCAGUUAAUAGCUGUCCUGCUUGACGUUACCAGGAGAGGAAGCACCGGCUAAAUACGUGCCAGCAGCCGCGGUAAUACGUAUGGUGCAAACGUUGUUCGGAAUCACUGGGCUUAAAGAGCACGUAGGCGGUUGAGAAAGUCUGAUGUGAAAUCCCUCAGCUCAACUGAGGAACUGCAUUAGAAACUUCUCGGCUAGAGUGCAGGAGGGGAGAGUGGAAUUCCUGGUGGAGCGGUGAAAUGCGUAGAUAUCAGGAGGAACGCCGGUGGCGAAAGCGACUCUCUGGCCUGCUACUGACGCUGAGGUGCGAAAGCUAGGGGAGCGAACGGGAUUAGAUACCCCCGUAGUCC
rnacentral:rRNA from 1 species